rnacentral:rRNA from 1 species
UACGGAGGGUGCAAGCGUUAUCCGGAUUCACUGGGUUUAAAGGGUGUGUAGGCGGAUAUUUAAGUCCGAGGUGAAAUCUCUGAGCUCAACUCAGAAACUGCCUUGGAUACUAUUUAUCUUGAAUAUCGUUGAGGUAGGCGGAAUAUGUCAUGUAGCGGUGAAAUGCUUAGAUAUGACAUAGAACACCGAUUGCGAAGGCAGCUCGCUGGGACGUAACUGACGCUGAGACGCGAAAGCGUGGGGAGCAAACAGG